CACGCCGUAAACGAUGAUUACUAGGUGUAGGGGGUAUCGACUCCCUCUGUGCCGCAGUUAACGCAUUAAGUAAUCCACCUGGGGAGUACGGCCGCAAGGUUAAAACUCAAAGGAAUUGACGGGGGCCCGCACAAGCAGUGGAGUAUGUGGUUUAAUUCGAGGCAACGCGAAGAACCUUACCAGGGCUUGACAUCCUCGGACGACACUAGAGAUAGUGUUUUCUCUUCGGAGACUGAGAGACAGGUGG
rnacentral:rRNA from 1 species